rnacentral:rRNA from 1 species
UACGUAGGGUGCGAGCGUUAAUCGGAAUUACUGGGCGUAAAGCGUGCGCAGGCGGCUGUGCAAGACAGGUGUGAAAUCCCCGGGCUCAACCUGGGAACUGCACUUGUGACUGCACGGCUCGAGUACGGCAGAGGGGGAUGGAAUUCCGCGUGUAGCAGUGAAAUGCGUAGAUAUGCGGAGGAACACCGAUGGCGUAGGCAGUCCCCUGGGCCUGUACUGACGCUCAUGCACGAAAGCGUGGGGAGCAAACAGG